GUUCCUCUAAGCAGGAACUCUCUCUUCUUGAACAAUGUGAUAGGACUCACUCAUGAUAUACUCCAACGGUAGGUUCCUCAAAGUGUCAGAAAAAAGUGGAAUGGGAACCAGCCGUUGGAGAUGCUCUCAGAUCCAGGCGAGGAACCAGGCGACAAUAGAUCUGUCGCAACAGUCUCUACAGCGUCGCCGUCGACCCGCCAUCCUCUUCUCUGAACUCUGUUGUUUCGCCGUCCUCUUCUCUAACCCUCCCCUUCGUGGCUUGCUGCUCCUUGUUAACAUCAUCUCCCUCUGCACUGCCACAGUCUCUCUUAUGCUUCUUCUCUCCUUCUUCUGUUGCUGUCUCUUCUUUGUCUCUCUGCUCCUCCUCCAGCCUUUCUCCUCUGCUUUGCUCCACCGUCUCCUCCUCUCGCCCAGUUUGCUCUAACUAUUCUCUGUCUCUGCAGGUUUUUCUAAUCUCUCUUUUAACUUGCUUUCCUUUCUCAUGCCAGUUUCUUCUAUUGAUUUUCUCCAAUGAGAACAACAUACCACACACUCAUUUCAAUCUUUAUGCGUAUUAUCAAGUUCUAAAUACUAAAGUUAGGUAAUGUUUGCUUGGAUUUUGCCUCUUGAUCAAUCAACUUCUUAUUGGGAAUCCAUUUUUUUAGUAAUUUUAUUUCUUUUCUUUAUAGAACAUUACAUUUGAACUUGGGAUUGAAUUUUGCUUUUCGAUGAGUCACAAAUUCUUUAAUCUUUGAUUGUUAUGACAACCUGUGAUAGGAGAAUUCAGAUCUAGAAAUGUGCCUUCAAACUUGGUAAGUUUUAACUUCUCUUUUUUUUUUAAAUUUAUUUUACAAUCACUAAUUAGUUUAAAUCCUUUGAAUUUCAAGCUGUACUAUUCAGGAGUGCAAUUGGGUUCUCCUCCAAUUGAUUUUUAUGUGCAGAUUGACACUGACAGUGAUAUUUUCUGUGUUAGCUACACAUUUUUCGAUGGUUGUCCCCAAACAAGAGGUCUUUUAUCAAUUGUUUUAGUGAUAUUAUCUUAAGUUGUAAUGAGUUUACUACUAUAUACACCAAGUUUUAUUUGAACCAUAUGAAUUUUCAUUUCUAUUUUAAUUCAUUUUUUCC